rnacentral:rRNA from 1 species
UACGUAGGUGGCAAGCGUUGUCCGGAUUUACUGGGCGUAAAGGGCGUGCAGGCGGUCUGUUAAGUGCAGGGUGAAAGCUCCCGGCUCAACUGGGAGAGGUCCUUGCAUACUGGCGGACUUGAGGGGGGUAGAGGAAAGUGGAAUUCCCGGUGUAGUGGUGAUAUGCGUAGAUAUCUGGAGGAAUACCGGUGGCGAAGGCGGCAUCCUGGACCGGCAUUGACGCUGAGUGAGCGAAAGCCAGGGGAGCAAACGGG